AUUGAACGCUGGCGGCAUGCCUUACACAUGCAAGUCGAACGGUAACAGGUCUUCGGAUGCUGACGAGUGGCGAACGGGUGAGUAAUACAUCGGAACGUGCCCGAGAGUGGGGGAUAACGAGGCGAAAGCUUUGCUAAUACCGCAUACGAUCUCAGGAUGAAAGCAGGGGACCGCAAGGCCUUGCGCUCACGGAGCGGCCGAUGGCAGAUUAGGUAGUUGGUGGGAUAAAAGCUUACCAAGCCGACGAUCUGUAGCUGGUCUGAGAGGACGACCAGCCUCACUGGGACUGAGACACGGCCCAGACUCCUGCGGGAGGCAGCAGUGGGGAAUUUUGGACAAUGGGCGCAAGCCUGAUCCAGCCAUGCCGCGUGCAGGAUGAAGGCCUUCGGGUUGUAAACUGCUUUUGUACGGAACGAAAAGACUCUGGUUAAUACCUGGGGUCCAUGACGGUACCGUAAGAAUAAGCACCGGCUAACUCUGUGCCAGCCGCCGCGGUAACAC
rnacentral:rRNA from 1 species